CCUACGUGGGUCAGCAGUGAGGAAUAUUGGUCAAUGGGCGCGCGCCUGAACCAGCCAAGUCGCGUGAGGUAAGACGGUCCUCUGGAUUGUAAACCUCUUUUGUCGGGGAGCAAAAGACGCCACGCGUGGCGUUCCGAGAGUACCCGAAGAAAUAGCAUCGGCUAACUCCGUGCCAGCAGCCGCGGUAAUCCGGAGGAUGCGAGCGUUAUCCGUAUUUAUUGGGGUUAAAGGGUGCGCAGGCGGAAGAUCAAGUCAGCGGUAAAAUUGAGAUGCUCAACCUGUUCGAGCCGUUGAAACUGGUGUUCUUGAGUGAGUGAGAAGUAUGCGGAAUGCGUGGUGUAGCGGGGGAAUGCAUAGAUAUCACGCAGAACUCCGAGUGCGAAGGCAGCAUACCGGCGCUCAACUGACGCUCAUGCACGAAAGUGUGGGUAUCGAACAGGAUUAGAUACCCUUGUAGUC
rnacentral:rRNA from 1 species